rnacentral:lncRNA from 1 species
ACAGAUUUACAUUUCUAUUUCACUACCCAGCAAAACCAAGUAUAUUUUUUUUUCCCUGAGGAAAAUAUGGCCAUUUAAAAAAAUAGAAGAUUUCCAAGCAUUCCAGAUGAAAAGACCAGAUAUUUCAAUUAGCCAUUCAGAAGACUUUCAGAAUGAAUAUCAUUUGACUAAAGGUCAAAUUACAUUACUGAAGUUGCCCAAGUUCUGGAAACUCUGAGAGUCAUCUACACUAAAAGUAAGAAGACAACAAUCAGAACCUCUGUAAAAUGGUGUUCGUAGGCUUCUAAAACGCUCUUGAC